AGUGAACGCUGGCGGUAAGCCUAACACAUGCAAGUCGAACGGCAGCACAGUAAGAGCUUGCUCUUACGGGUGGCGAGUGGCGGACGGGUGAGGAAUACAUCGGAAUCUACUUUUUCGUGGGGGAUAACGUAGGGAAACUUACGCUAAUACCGCAUACGACCUACGGGUGAAAGCAGGGGAUCUUCGGACCUUGCGCGAUUGAAUGAGCCGAUGUCGGAUUAGCUAGUUGGCGGGGUAAAGGCCCACCAAGGCGACGAUCCGUAGCUGGUCCGAGAGGAUGAUCAGCCACACUGGAACUGAGACACGGUCCAGACUCCUACGGGAGGCAGCAGUGGGGAAUAUUGGACAAUGGGCGCAAGCCUGAUCCAGCCAUACCGCGUGGGUGAAGAAGGCCUUCGGGUUGUAAAGCCCUUUUGUUGGGAAAGAAAAGCAGCAGGUUAAUACCCCGCUGUUCUGACGGUACCCAAAGAAUAAGCACCGGCUAACUUCGUG
rnacentral:rRNA from 1 species